rnacentral:rRNA from 1 species
UACGUAGGGGGCUAGCGUUGUCCGGAAUCAUUGGGCGUAAAGCGCGUGUAGGCGGCCCGGUAAGUCCGCUGUGAAAGUCGGGGGCUCAACCCUCGGAUGCCGGUGGAUACUGUCGGGCUCGAGUACGGAAGAGGCGAGUGGAAUUCCUGGUGUAGCGGUGAAAUGCGCAGAUAUCAGGAGGAACACCGAUUGCGAAGGCAGCUCGCUGGGACGUGACUAACGCUGAGGUGCGAAAGCGUGGGGAGCAAACAGG